rnacentral:rRNA from 1 species
UAGGGAAUCUUCCGCAAUGGGCGAAAGCCUGACGGAGCAACGCCGCGUGAGUGAUGAAGGUCUUCGGAUCGUAAAACUCUGUUAUUAGGGAAGAACAAAUGUGUAAGUAACUACGCCCGCCUUGACGGUACCUAAUCAGAAAGCCACGGCUAACUACGUGCCACCGGCGGCGGUAAUACGUAGGUGGCAAGCGUUAUCCGGAGUUAUUGGGCGUAAAGCGGGCGUAGGCGGUUUUUUAAGUCUGAUGUGAAAACCCACGGCUCAACCGUGGAGGGUCAUUGGAAACUGGAAAACUUGAGGGCAGAAGAGGAAAGUGGAAUUCCAGGUGUAGCGGUGAAAUGCGCAGAGAUAUGGAGGAACACCAGUGGCGAAGGCGACUUUCUGGUCUGUAACUGACACUGAUGUGCGAAAGCGUGGGGAUCAAACAGG